AUUGAACGCUGGCGGCAUGCCUUACACACGCAAGUCGAACGGCAGCACGGGAGCAAUCCUGGUGGCGAGUGGCGAACGGGUGAGUAAUAUAUCGGAACGUGCCCAGUCGUGGGGAUAACGUAGCGAAAGCUACGCUAAUACCGCAUACGAUCUAUGGAUGAAAGCGGGGGAUCGCAAGACCUCGCGCGAUUGGAGCGGCCGAUAUCAGAUUAGGUAGUUGGUGAGGUAAAGGCUCACCAAGCCGACGAUCUGUAGCUGGUCUGAGAGGACGACCAGCCACACUGGGACUGAGACACGGCCCAGACUCCUACGGGAGGCAGCAGUGGGGAAUUUUGGACAAUGGGCGGCAAGCCUGAUCCAGCAAUGCCGCGUGCAGGAUGAAGGCC
rnacentral:rRNA from 1 species